GCCACUUCCGCUGCUCAGCUCAACCUCUCCCCGACCUACGGAUUCUCUAUAGAAAGGCGCCACUCUACCCCUUGGCAUCUCGAUGGUGAAUGACUACGCUAUCCGUUUGUGCACCACGAAGGCGGGAAAGCGAGCACACCGGAAGUUCGGGACCGGGAAGGAAGGGGAGAAAGCGAGAUAUAUGAAUAUUGGAAGCAAAUUCAAGUAAACAUUUUGCUAGCACUGUCUGGAUUCCUCUACCUUACCUUCUUCAAACUAGGAAACAAAAUAUUUUUAUGGCCAUUGAUGAACCAUAAAACUGAUAUGUGUACGUGAUGCACUUCAAAAGGACCGUGAGAUCCUCCAGCAAUGUGAACAGGCCUUGAGGGAUAUUGAGGAGCGUGAAUGAGCAACCGCUGAACAAUUACAACGAGACAUGGCAGCGUGAGCUGCUGAUCUCCAUUUUGAAUGACAGCAGAUCGAGGCUGAACGCACCUGUCUUUGACAAGCCUUACUGCGAGCUGAACGGGAUCAGGCCACGCACCCCGGGUUGGCCCAACGCACCCAAGCCCCGCAUUUGGAUCAUCAUACUCCAGCAGCUCCUCAGAUGGAUCAACGUACCCCAGCACCAUGGAUGGAUCACCGCGCUCAAGCAGCCCACCGUCCGGUACCUCCACUGCCUCUGCCUGCGGCUGGCAGGGGAUUCCCGUGACCCAAGAUUCCUGCCCGUUUUGAUGGGAAUCUGACCAAGCUCCCUUAUUUUCUUCUUGUGGAAAGCAGCUGAUUCGAAAGCUCAUGUUUUAUAUAGACUUUUGGUUCUGUUAACACUGGAAUACUUCUGUUUACACACUCACCUCUGCUCCUGUUACUGAAAAUCCAAAGCUGGGUUUUUAAAAAAUUCAUAUAAAUAAUACAAAAAUUCAGAUACAAAAUACAGCUGGCUUAAGAGAGGGUUUGUCAAGAUUUUGAAUGAAUAGAUUUCUGUUAUUCGGACCUGUUGAACAUGGCUAUAAUGAAAUAAAGACCCUGUAAACCCA